UCUGACCAUUUAGAAAGGAAAUGUUGUGAAGUAAACUUGUAGUGUUUGAUGCCCUUGAUCUUGUGUCAUGUGCAUGUAUGAAUUUAUUGCAUAAAAGUAAUAAAGCAUUGCAAAUCAUUUUGUUUACCUGAUGCCAUCAUCAUCAUUCGCUUGAGUCACAGGUGGUUUAAGAGUUACAAGAAAGGUAUUAAUUAAAAGCUGAGGAAAUGGUCAGUCAUAUUUUGGUAAAUUAAAUGUAAUAUUCAAUUAUCUCUGAAUAUAAGCUUUCAAAAAUUAGCAUUAGCAUUUUCUUGAUACAUUAUGAACUUGAUGCAUUUGAGUUAUUUAUUUUUAUGAUAACUACACUGUAGUAUCAAAUUUUUUGCUUAUAAUGAUGCAUUCAAAGUAAUUUCCCUUCAAAUUCAAAAUGUCAAAUUUGAAAUACAUAUAUGUACAUGCUGACUUGUUUGAAGAUUUGCUUCAAUUUUGAUUGGAAAAUUAUAGUUGUUACCAUUCUGUAAUAUUCCUUUAUUUUCACUUAAGAGCCUUUCAAUCUCAUGAUAAUUUAUAUUUUAUAAGGCAUGUGGUAAAUUGCCACUUUGUCCACAUCCACUUGGUCCACUUUCCAUUUGGUCUAAUGGUCUAAUUGUAGUAUGUAUACAACCCAUUUAGCCCAUUUAUACUUUAUCUAAUUCCAAGUUAGGUUAUGUCCAUUCCAUCUAAUAUCCACUUGGUCAAACAUCACCUAGUCCAUAUGAUAAAUGAACUGCCCUUUUAAACAAAUUUUCAUUUGACAAAGUGCAAACUGAUAAGUAGAUGAAGUGAAAAAUAGGCCAUGCAGGCAUCAGUCUAAGUUACAUUCAGGCCAAGUGAUGGUUUGACAAAAUUAAUAGACCAAGUUAGUUGUAGACCAAUUUGGUUAAGCUAUGAGACAGUCUGAGAAUUAGACAAUCUGCUAGUAGACAAAGUGGAUAUAACCAACAGGGGCCGCGGAAGCGGGGGGUUGGGGGGCUUCAGCUCCCCCACUUUUUUCAAAAACCGUGUACGAAAACGUAAAAACGACCAUAUGAUUGUGAAUUUUUGCAUGGUCAGCCCCCCACUUUUGGCUCAGCCCCCCCCCCCCCACUUUGAAAACCGUUCCGCGGCCCCUGACCAAGGCAUGUUGUGUAUCAGUUUUAUGUGAUCACUCUUCCAUUUUCUCUCCUUUUUUUUUGGCACUGCUUUUUAUCAUAUCACAGGAGCCUCCAGAAACGGAAAUAGGGAGUGCUCUCUCUCUCUUGGUCAAACUUUCAUUUCCUUCAUAGUGCCCUGAAGAAAUAAUAACGCAAGUGGAGAUAUUCUACAAAGAUAUGAGAUCUCUCAACUCUGCAUAUCAUAUUACAUGAUAUUACUAGAACCUGUUCCUUAAUAUAACAACUGUAUUUAAUACAUCUCCUGUGCUUGAGCAAACCAGUGGCUUGUUAAUUGACAUAUACAUUGCAUCCCACAAAAAAAGGAAACCCUUUUUCACUCGAGAUAGAUUUCACAACUAUUAAAUAUGUCUUUACUAUGAAUUUGCUACUUAUGGCAAGAUUGGAAUCUCAUCUCUAAUUUGAGACCAACAGCUUAGCAAAUCAUUCACGCAUGGCAGAUUGCAAACAAUAUUAAUAUUGAGGCAUAUUAGAAAUGAUUUGCGCAGAAAUUUCAUGUGUUAUUCUGAAUCCACUCUCAUUUCAGAGAUCAGUGAUAGAAACUUAAUAAAGAAACUUAACAAAAGAAAUGCUGAAGAGUCACUCGUCGAAUAAGCAUGGUUGUCAUAUCAUGAACCCAUCUUGUCCAAUUUUUUCUGCGCAACCUGGAUUUGACAUUGAAAUUUCUAACUCGUCUUGCUCAUUAAUUCGUAAAAUGUUUGUCUCAUAUUAGGUAUAAAUUUAAAGAGGAAUAGUUGAAGUAAAUGAUUAUGUAAAUAAAAUAUCAUAAUUUAUUUGCCUUUGAAGAAAUAAUGAGAUGGGAAUCCUGGUUUCCUUUUUACAACAUAAAAUGCAGGAAAUAGCCAUUGAUAUGGUAAAGAUAGCUUUUUGGGUGAUUAUCUUAUUAUUUUAAUCAAAUAGGAAAUGUAGGUGCUUGAUAUCUGUGCAAUAGUUUUAGCUGUGUAAAUUUACUUCUGCCAGCUGAUAUUCCUUCAGUAAAUGAGCAUACGUUUUGCCAGAAUUAUAGAAGGAGGUAUUAUUGAUGAUUUAUGAAUUUAUCUUUUCUUAGUGAACAAGAAAAUUGUACAGGCAUGUAUGCAAAGAUCUUAUGCUACUGCCAAAUGUAUAGCUGUGUAGAAAAUUAUGAUUAGAUGAAAUUCAUGUGAUAUUGUAUGCUAAAUAACAUGAAAAGGUGUCUUUUAUGUUGGAAAUCUGAGGAUAUGGAAAUAUCAAGACCCAACAUUCUUUCUAGAACAUUUAACCCAUCAAAAUAAGCUUCACUUUAAACCAUUGUAAUAUACUUGUGCUAAGUUGUACUUGUAUUAUUUGUAAUAAUGUUAUUUAUGCAUGAUGAAUAUUGUUAUUUUUUGUAUUAUGUCAGGAAAUUUCAUUGCACCAAACUUAAAGAAAAGGAGGUGAAAGUGGUGUCUUCUCUUAGUUUUAUUUUAUUAUAAUCAAUGUAAUGAAAUAUUGAGAUAUAUUCCAGGAAUAUUUACUUGAUAGUAUUAUGAACAUGAAGGUUUCAGGAGAAAGGUAGCUAACUAAAGAGUAUUAAGAUGUUUCUCUUUACCACACCCGCCCCCCUUCUCUGAGCUAAAGGGAAAAAAAGAUAUUUUAACAUUUUUUACAUGGGGAACCCUAUUAUAAUAUGACAAAAUAAGGUAAAUUGUGAACCACUUUGUCUAUUUGCCAUUUCAUGUCACAUGGUCUCAUAUACAACCUUUUACUGCCAAUGUGGUCAAGUAAAGGUGUGGAUUUAGCUAGAUUAGACAUGAAUAGUUUUGAAAGUUUGCAAAAACAAUAUGGCCCCUAAAAUGGUGUAAUGUUCAACCUGGCUAGAUCUGUCACAGGUCAUAUUGCCAGUGAGGACAUUAUCCACUUUGUAAAAUUGUUAUACCCAUUGUGUAUCCCCUUGGUCUAACAAAUUAUGAUAUGAUGAAAUAUUUAUUUGACGAAGUACGUAGGAGACAAAGUGUGAAUGAUACGUACCAUCUGGACAUGAGACCGAGUGAUGGUUAGACCAAAUGGUAAUUAGACCAAGUCACUGGCCUAAGUCCAAGUGACGGACCUUUUGUUCGGGUGAGGGGUGGGGAUGAUCUAGUAUUUCAUCCCCCUACUUGAAGAGUAUGACGUUACUAAUUUACGCCAAUGGAUGAAGUGGUUACAAACCCUGAUUACUGUUCCCAAGUUCCCCUUAUAUUUUUACGGGCAAGGACAUUUUGUUUUCUUUGCCAAGAACAAUAUUUUGGAAAAUAAAAGUCAAAAAAGUAAUUUUAAUUUGUGAGAAGGAAAGGAAUGUGGUACAUUUUAGUGUUGUAAAUAUCUACAUUUUGUAAAAACAAAGUACAGAAAACAUAUAUUUAUUACAAAGCAUUGUUUAUCAUUGGCUUAGUAUGUAUUGGAUUAAUAGUUAACAUUAAAAGGAUCAAAGAAGCAGUGUAGAUUUUUGUCUUUCAUGAAAGAUUAGAAGUUUGUAUUUGCAAUUCAAUUAAAAAGUCAAAUUAGCACCUACUCCUUUAUGACAAAUAUUCAGUUAUCGAAUAUCAUACUAUCUUGAAAAUAAAGAAAUUUAUUUGUUUUAAAGGUAUACAGAGAGCCAAGUUGGCUCAGUCGGUAAAGUGUGCCUGUCGAAGCAAAGAUCGUGGGUUUGAGUCCACCCCGGGCGGAUGACUGAAGCCAGUGCGUUGUGUGAUUAUGCCUCUCCCCAGUUUCAUAGAUGCAUGCUACGUUACAGUGGAAAACACUCCGUCCCUCAGAUAGGACGUUAAAUGGAGGCCCCGUGGAGAGGAGAGCCACCACCUUUGCACGUUAAGAACCCACUGCACUGAUUCGAAUAAGAGUAGGGGGAAACCCGGUGUAGUGGUCUACCUGCAUUCCCCCAACCAGUUAUAUCAGGAGGAGAGACCUGCGGGUCACAGUUCUGUGUGCGCGCACUUCUAGGCGACCCAGAUUGGCUGGCUCCAAAAAAGCGCCUUUGAAUGUCUUUGACAGAUAUAUGGCGCUAUACAAAUGCUGUGCAUCAUCAUCAUCAUUUUCAAGUACAUGUAUUCUCAUAUUAUAUCAUUCACGUUGUAAUGAAGAGUAUGGUUGUCAGUCUUCUUGAAUAUAUUUUUGAGAAGCAAAAAAAAAAUGGAUUUAAAAGAAAUGAUAUACAUGUGGUGGUAUAAUUUGUAGAAUAUUUUCUUAAUAUAUAUUUGCAUGUUUUUUAUCACAUGUUUUGUGUAUUAUUCGAUUCUUUUAGUAUGUUAUCCAAUGCAACAGUAAUAACUUUGUGUUGACUUGUUCUCAAACCAAUAUUUUUUUAGGCAUAUACUAAAGUGAUAUCUCGAAACAUGUAAUGAUACAUGAAAUAUUGGUAGUUUAGUGUCAUUUCUGAUUACCGGUAAAAUGACAUUUUUUAAUAUUUGGUAAUGCAAGCUUGCAUAGGUUUUAUAUUUGACAUGUGCUCAAAAAUUUUAAUGAUUAAUAAAAUAAAAAAUCUAAUGAUAUAUUGUAUUUAAUGAAUAAGGUAGAGUUUGUCUAUAAGAAGCUGCUAAAAUCACAUCAUUUUCACCUUGCUGAGUGAGUUGAAUGUUUCUGAACAUAACGGUCAAUUGAUACAUGUAUUUAUCUGAAAGAAAUGAUGUACGUGUUUAUUUAUGUAUCCAAUAUUUAAAAUGAAAGUAUUCAAUCUAUACAAAGUAUAACAUUAUAUAGCUGUUUUAACUGAAUCAUGACAAUUUUACUCUGAUGAAUUUUUCUUUUUUAUCAUGUAAUAGAUUUAUACCAGGUUAAUAAUUCCAAACUCUUGCCAGUUUGAUAGACUUUUAAUCAACGCCCCUCAUGAGGAUAUUUUUAAAAGUAGCUCUUGGAAAUAAUUAGGAAAAUGAUAUACUACUAGGAAACUAGUAAUUAUGUUCAUCUAUUUGCAGCACUAUAAAUGCCAUGGUAUGAUCGUUUUGUAUACCCCCUUUGUAGAACUUUCAUUCUUUGCAGUUUGUCCUUAAUUUCCUUGCACAAAUGUGUUUUAAUUUUCAUUUGUAAUGAAUAUAAAUUUAAUUAUUCAUCAGUGUCAAUUGUUUCAUACAUUGUGUACCUGUUAAUAAAUGUUGAUACUCUUUCAUGUUA